rnacentral:sRNA from 1 species
GCACCGGUGAGAAGCGGUUAGAGAACAAUGGACCUGAUCUCUCUAUAU